rnacentral:rRNA from 1 species
UACGUAGGGGGCAAGCGUUGUCCGGAAUUAUUGGGCGUAAAGAGCGUGUAGGCGGUCCGGUAAGUCGGCUGUGAAAACUGGAGGCUCAACCUUCAGAGGUCGACCGAAACCAUCUGGCUAGAGUCCGGGAGAGGAGAGUGGAAUUCCUGGUGUAGCGGUGAAAUGCGCAGAUAUCAGGAAGAACACCCGUGGCGAAAGCGGCUCUCUGGAACGGUACUGACGCUGAGACGCGAAAGCGUGGGGAGCGAACAGG